rnacentral:rRNA from 1 species
GAGUUUGAUCAUGGCUCAGGAUGAACGCUAGCGGCAGGCUUAAUACAUGCAAGUCGUGGGGCAGCAUGAGUAGCAAUACUUGAUGGCGACCGGCAAACGGGUGCGGAACACGUACGCAACCUUCCUUCAGGCGGGGAAUAGCCCAGAGAAAUUUGGAUUAAUACCCCAUAAUAUUUUGAGAUGGCAUCAUCUUAUUAUUAAAGCUUCGGCACCUGAUGAUGGGCGUGCGGCUGAUUAGGUAGUUGGCGGGGUAAUGGCCCACCAAGCCUACGAUCAGUAGCUGAUGUGAGAGCAUGAUCAGCCACACGGGCACUGAGACACGGGCCCGACUCCUACGGGAGGCAGCAGUAAGGAAUAUUGGUCAAUGGACGAAAGUCUGAACCAGCCAUGCCGCGUGGAGGAUG